rnacentral:rRNA from 1 species
GCUCUCUUGGCGGCGAGUGGCGGACGGGUGAGUAAUAUAUCGGAACGUGCCCAGUAGCGGGGGAUAACUACUCGAAAGAGUGGCUAAUACCGCAUACGCCCUACGGGGGAAKGGGGGGGAUCGCAAGACCUCUCACUAUUGGAGCGGCCGAUAUCGGAUUAGCUAGUUGGUGGGGUAAAGGCUCACCAAGGCAACGAUCCGUAGCUGGUUUGAGAGGACGACCAGCCACACUGGGACUGAGACACGGCCCAGACUCCUACGGGAGGCAGCAGUGGGGAAUUUUGGACAAUGGGGGAAACCCUGAUCCAGCCAUCCCGCGUGUAUGAUGAAGGCCUUCGGGUUGUAAAGUACUUUUGGCAGARAAGAAAAGGUACCUCCUAAUACGAGGUACUG